AACCCUUGUCCUUAGUUACCAGCACGUUAUGGUGGGCGACUCUAAGGAGACUGCCGGUGACAAACCGGAGGAAGGUGGGGAGUGACGUCAAGUCAUCAUGGCCCUUACGGCCUGGGCUACACACGUGCUACAAUGGUCGGUACAAAGGGUUGCCAAGCCGCGAGGUGGAGCUAAUCCCAUAAAACCGAUCGUAGUCCGGAUCGCAGUCUGCAACUCGACUGCGUGAAGUCGGAAUCGCUAGUAAUCGUGAAUCAGAAUGUCACGGUGAAUACGUUCCCGGGCCUU
rnacentral:rRNA from 1 species